UUUUUAUUGCAUGGACACAGGCUGUCACUCUUAUUUUUGUUGAUAGUCAAAAAAGGCAAGAAAGAGAGAGAAGAGUUGGAAGGGGAGAGAGACAGUCAGUUGGGCAGGAUGAAAAAAAAACUAUAUUACUUUGGACUACAUGAUUUGGCCCGCUGCCUUGCUGUUAUUUUCUUUUUAAUUAAUGUAUACUACUACUACUAUUAAAUACAUAUGAACUGCAGCCUCCUGCAGUCACUUACUUGUGAUUCUAGCUUUCGGCCAGGAGAGGAUGUCAUCAGGGGGCAUCCAACGUUCUUCAGAUGUUUCGACCCUAAACAACAACAUCCUCCAGUUGGUGGCUCAGCAGUGAAAGCCAGUCACUGCCCAUCUUUUCCUGGCUUCCAGCGCAACUCUUCCCAAAGCCAACAUGUAGAUGUUUUCAUCUCCCUUCAUGUUAUUCCCAAAACUUUCAGCAUCUUCCACACAGAUUGUGCAGGGAAACCCCUGCAGCGAACCUCAAUUGGAAAUAGCCAGGCCUUCUACCCUUUAUCCCUGCAUUGCUGGACCAGGACCUGGUACUUGGUGGCUUUCCUCUCUGAGGCCUCCUCGCAUCCAUCUUCCCAUUAAUUAAUAUGAAUUAAUUGAUUUAUUUAAUCAAUAUUUUAUAUAAUUGCAUGUCCGAUGUACUCAAGUGAUUUGGCAUUCUAUAAUAAACUAUGAAUCUUGCAAUGCUAUGUUAAUUUCAGCUCUUUCAAACAGAGUCAUCACUGCACAGAGUGAAGAUGGAGAGGAAGUGGCCAGAUGGAGCUGAGAGGGGAAAAGGCAUGCAAAAGAAAAACCCUCUAAAAAGAAGCAGUAUAAUGUACAUUACUGACCUGCCAGGACUAUAAGUGCAGGUGAAGAGAGUCAACCUGACACUAGCUCUGUGCAGUGCUCACACUUCAGGGUCAACCUAAGAUGACAGGUAGGGAUCAAAUAAGAGAAAUAUGCUUUAAUAUAUUUGCAUGAAAUAUAGUAUGGUUAAAUCGUAGGUAUUUUAAGUAUUUUUUAAGUCUCAAAACAACAACACCUCAGUGCCCUAAUGUGAUGCUUUAAAAUUUUAACUAAAAGAAAUUUAGAUUCUGUGCUCACAAAUUACAGUGAGGUUAAAAAGUUUUCCAGCAA
ensembl:lncRNA